rnacentral:rRNA from 1 species
GAACCAACAGGGGAUUGCCCUAGUAACGGCGAGUGAAGCGGCAACAGCUCAAAUUUGAAAUCUGGCCCCCAGGCCCGAGUUGUAAUUUGUAGAGGAUGCUUUUGGUGACGCGCUUACCGAGUCCCCUGGAAUGGGGCGCCACAGAGGGUGAGAGCCCCGUAUGGUUUGCCGCCGAGCCUCUGUAAAGCUCCUUCGACGAGUCGAGUAGUUUGGGAAUGCUGCUCUAAAUGGGAGGUAAAUUUCUUCUAAAGCUAAAUACCGGCCAGAGACCGAUAGCGCACAAGUAGAGUGAUCGAAAGAUGAAAAGCACUUUGAAAAGAGGGUUAAAUAGCACGUGAAAUUGUUGAAAGGGAAGCGCUUGUGACCAGACUCGCGCCGGGCGGAUCAUCCAGCGUUCUCGCUGGUGCACUCCGCCCGGCUCGGGCCAGCAUCGGUUUUCGCCGGGGGACAAAAGCCUCGGGAACGUGGCCCCCUUCGGGGGGUGUUAUAGCCCGUGGCAGAAUACCCCGGCGGGGACCGAGGACCGCGCUUCGGCAAGGAUGCUGGCGUAAUGGUCAUCAGCGACCCGUCUUGAAACACGGACCGAGGAGUCAAGCAUUAGUGCGAGUGUUUGGGUGUAAAACCCGCACGCGUAAUGAAAGUGAACGUAGGUGAGAGCUUCGGCGCAUCAUCGACCGAUCCUGAAGUUUACGGAUGGAUUUGAGUAGGAGCAUUAACGCUUGGACCCGAAAGAUGGUGAACUAUACUUGAAUAGGGUGAAGCCAGAGGAAACUCUGGUGGAGGCUCGCAGCGGUUCUGACGUGCAAAUCGAUCGUCAAAUUUGAGUAUAGGGGCGAAAGACUAAUCGAACCAUCUAGUAGCUGGUUACGCC